rnacentral:rRNA from 1 species
AGAGUUUGAUCCUGGCUCAGAACGAACGCUGGCGGCAGGCCUAACACAUGCAAGUCGAGCGCGCCCUUCGGGGUGAGCGGCGGACGGGUUAGUAACGCGUGGGAAUAUGCCCGACACUAAGGAAUAGCCUCUGGAAACGGAGAGUAAUACCUUAUACGCCCUUCGGGGGAAAGAUUUAUCGGUGACGGAUUAGCCCGCGUUAGAUUAGAUAGUUGGUGGGGUAAUGGCCUACCAAGUCUACGAUCUAUAGCUGGUUUUAGAGGAUGAUCAGCAACACUGGGACUGAGACACGGCCCAGACUCCUACGGGAGGCAGCAGUGGGGAAUCUUGGACAAUGGGCGCAAGCCUGAUCCAGCCAUGCCGCGUGAGUGAUGAAGGCCUUAGGGUCGUAAAGCUCUUUCGCCAGAGAUGAUAAUGACAGUAUCUGGUAAAGAAACCCCGGCUAACUCCGUGCCAGCAGCCGCGGUAAUACGGAGGGGGUUAGCGUUGUUCGGAAUUACUGGGCGUAAAGCGCGCGUAGGCGGAUUAGUCAGUUAGAGGUGAAAUCCCGGGGCUCAACCCCGGAACUGCCUUUAAUACUGCUAGUCUUGAGUUCGAGAGAGGUGAGUGGAAUUCCGAGUGUAGAGGUGAAAUUCGUAGAUAUUCGGAGGAACACCAGUGGCGAAGGCGGCUCACUGGCUCGAUACUGACGCUGAGGUGCGAAAGUGUGGGGAGCAAACAGGAUUAGAUACCCUGGUAGUCCACACCGUAAACGAUGAUGCCAGUCGUCGGGUAGCAUGCUAUUCGGUGACACACCUAACGGAUUAGCAUUCGCUGGGGGAGUACGGUCGCAGAUAACUCAAAGGAUGACGGGGGCCGCACAGCCGGUGGGAGCAUGGGGUUAUCGAGCACGCGCAGAACUACACCCUUGACAUUCUGGGCUACAUCGAGAUGGAUGGUCUCAGGGACCAUGACAGGGGCUGCAUGGCUGUCUCAGCUCUGUGCUGGGAAGGUUCGGUAAUUCGGCACAGAGCCACCCAACCUCUUAUUACCACGUUCGUCCGGAACUUAGGAAUGCCGUUACGGAAAUUUAACGCUAUGGCCUCUAG